CCUACGGGAGGCAGCAGUGAGGAAUAUUGGUCAAUGGACGCAAGUCUGAACCAGCCAUGCCGCGUGCAGGAAGACGGCCCUAUGGGUUGUAAACCUCUUUUGUCAGGGAGCAACGCCGGCUACGUGUAGCCGGACUGAGAGUACCUGACGAAAAAGCAUCGGCUAACUCCGUGCAAGCAGCCGCGGUAAUACGGAGGUUGCGAGCGUUAUCCGGAUUUAUUGGGUUUAAAGGGUGCGUAGGCGGAAUGCCAAGUCAGCGGUAAAAUCGGGGGGCUCAACCUCGCUCCGCCGUUGAAACUGGCGUUCUUGAGUGGGCGAGAAGUAUGCGGAAUGCGUGGUGUAGCGGUGAAAUGCAUAGAUAUCACGCAGAACCCCGAUUGCGAAGGCAGCCUGCCAAGCCAUGACUGACGCUGAUGCACGAAAGCGUGGGGAUCAAACAGGAUUAGAUACCCGGGUAGUC
rnacentral:rRNA from 1 species